rnacentral:rRNA from 1 species
CACACGACUCUCGGCAACGGAUAUCUCGGCUCUCGCAUCGAUGAAGAACGUAGCGAAAUGCGAUACCUGGUGUGAAUUGCAGAAUCCCGUGAACCAUCGAGUCUUUGAACGCAAGUUUCGCCCGAGGCCAUUCGGCCGAGGGCACGCCUGCCUGGGCGUCACGC